rnacentral:rRNA from 1 species
UAGGGAAUCUUCCACAAUGGGCGCAAGCCUGAUGGAGCAACGCCGCGUGAGUGAAGAAGGUCUUCGGAUCGUAAAACUCUGUUGUUAGAGAAGAACAUGCAGGAGAGUAACUGUUCUUGUAUUGACGGUAUCUAACCAGAAAGCCACGGCUAACUACGUGCCG